AUCUUAUGAAGCAGAGUGCAUGGUCCUUGAAUGACGUCUUAGAACUUCAGCGUCUAGCAACUGGAGAACCAGACCGUGAUCCAGGUCGGGAACCAGAUCCUCCCUGUGAAAGAAGAAUAAAAUCAAUUUGAUUAGAAAGGAGGCGGAUCAUGAGGACUUGAGAACAAGCAUGACCUCUACUGGACACUACUAGUGAAAAUGUUCCAAGCUACUGCACUGGGGCCACCACACACCAUGACUGGGAUCCACGUGUGCAGAUAUCUCGAAGAACCACAGCUACCACAAGAGAAAUAACUCUGGAAUGUUCCACCAAGAGUGCCUCCAACUCCCUCACCAAUCACUCCAGUGUGCUGAGAUGGCAAUCUUUACCGAAUAAGGACCCAAUCCUGCUCUGACGAAGACACUGUUUGCUGUUGAGAUUUUCCACUCCAGUCAUUCCUGCCCUUAAUCUGACAGAGCACUGAAGAUCAACCAAGAUACAAGAGAGAAGGUACUUCAUUGUCUAGAACACGACUAUAUACUAACUCCUCAAGGUAAACAGAUUCCAAUGAUUGGUAAAUACAGGAAUCUACAAUUUGCACCCAAUUUAGAUCACUACCACCACCACUGAAAAUUGAUUUCAUUUUUAUUGUUACACAAAAAA